rnacentral:rRNA from 1 species
GACGUAGGGCGCGAGCGUUGUCGGGAUUUAUUGGGUUUAAAGGGUGCUCAGGCGGGAGAUUAAGUCGGCGGUGAAAUUUUGCAGCUCAACUGUAAAAAGUGCCUUCGAAACUUGUUUCCUUGAGUGUGGAUGAAGUAGGCGGAAUUUGUGGUGUAGCGGUGAAAUGCAUAGAUAUCACGAGGAACUCCGAUUGCGCAGGCAGCUUACUAAACCAUAACUGACGCUCAGGCACGAAGGCGUGGGGAUCAAACAGGAUUAGAUACCCGGGUAGUCCCU